CACGCUAGUCGAGUCGGGAAUACGCGCGGCUUGUCAGUGGUUACACUAGAUCCCGCGCAUGCGCAACAGGUAGCGCCCGUUAAAAUACGUAAACACCCGAAGACGUUACUACAAAUAACCGAAGAUUUACGAAACACUACGAAGCGUCAUUCCAAAAGUUUUGCAUCAGCAAAUUUGCCGUCUCAAUGGUGAAGACAACAAGACACUUAAAAUAAAAGCAUUAAUUAAUAAAAAUAAAUAUUUAUUGACGCUAAAAUGAUUUAUCAGAAGAAAUAUGAUGCGAAGAUUCACGAAAACUCCCGAGCAACGGACGCGGUUUUAAUUCUACGAAGAAAAUACUAUACGUAUGUGCUGAAUAUUACAGAGCACCAACACAACACGACCAGGACUGAGUACUGAGUACUAUACAGGGAGCUAGAGGAUGAUGUGUGCGAAACAUAACAGGACUGGUUCUCUGGCUCUGGUUUUCCUCGGUACAUGAAUCGUAUCGCAUCAAGUACAACGCAUUAUAUGUGUUGUUAUUAUGAGAGAGUAUACAAAGGACAUAUAAGAGAAAAUACAAGGUCAUAAAACGAGUCGUCAGACACUUGAUGUUGAUAGGUUGCUGGUUCGAGCUUCGAGCUCGAGAGGAUUGUAUUAUGAGGAUAGAGGAUGCCAGGAUCGGGUGGUACGGCUCAAGGUAAGUUUGCUUUAUGUAAAAACAAUGAGAUAAAAAUGUUUAAGGUAUGUAUUAGUAUUGGUGUACGUACGGAUAUGCUGUACUGAUUAUGAGUAUGAGUAUCUGUACGAGUAUGAGACUUUUUAUUCUCUUCUCUUGUCUCGAAUCGGGUAUACGAGAUCAAAGGGAUAAUUUUUUUUAAGCUGGAUUAUUUUCAUCGCAAAUUAUUUCGGAUUAUUUAAUAAAUGGAGUAGGUUUUUGGCGCCAACAGCAUCUGUGUUAUCAUUUAGGGACUUGGCGACUUUUUUGCCUUUAUCGUCACUACACACUACACAGCGAUGGCAUUCCCACGAUGCCUUCAGGAUCUCCAGAUGCUCUUUUUCUCGAGUGUCUUUUGGUAAAAAAAAUGGAUUUCGCGUGAUAGGUCUAAAUGUUAUUAAUGUUUGCUGGGUUUAUUCAACGUUUGUCGGCAAGUCAUUACUUUAUUGAGCUGUCGAUUAAAAAUUUUUUGCAGGUCGAUGAUGGCAAGAAAUUUUUUUUAAGAUGAAAAAAAAUUUUUUUU